rnacentral:rRNA from 1 species
CUACGGGACGCUGCAGUGAGGAAUUUUGCGCAAUGGGGGCAACCCUGAUGCAGCAACGCCGCGUGGAGGAUGACGCAUUUCGGUGUGUAAACUCCUUUUAUAUGUCAAGAAAAUGACGGUAGCAUAUGAAUAAGCACCGGCUAACUCCGUGCCAGCAGCCGCGGUAAUACGGAGGGUGCAAGCGUUACUCGGAAUCACUGGGCGUAAAGGACGCGUAGGCGGGUUGGAAAGUCAGGUGUGAAAUCCUACAGCUUAACUGUAGAACUGCACUUGAAACUUCUAAUCUAGAGUAUGGGAGGGGGAGAUGGAAUUAGUGGUGUAGGGGUAAAAUCCGUAGAUAUCACUAGGAAUACCUAAAGCGAAGGCGAUCUCCUGGAACAUUACUGACGCUAAGGCGUGAAAGCGUGGGGAGCAAACAGGAUUAGAUACCCGCGUAGUC